GGAUGGGCUCCGGGACCCGCUGAAACAUCUGAACCCAGCCGGGGGGGGCAGCGGGCAAGAGAAAAGGGACAGAAUAUCUAAUGAAGCAGAAACUGGAAUUCGGUGGGAGAGGUGAAGAGCCCUUGCUGGGGGUACACCUGUGAGGAGCACAGAAAACAGGCGGCGGAUGGCAGGGAGACUCCACGGAGGUGGAAGAGAGGAGCCAGGCCCGGAAGAACAGGGAAGGGGAUGCCACCUGGGGCAGAGGAGGCGCCGCGCCAGUGCAGCCUCUACCUGCCGGCGGGCGGGACGGGCCGCUCAGACUAUAAUUUUAUGUGUGUGAAAUUCAAGGGGAAAAAGGAAACAAUACAUAAUCCAGCUUCUCCUGGAUCUUGCAAAGCACCACCAGGACAGACAUCUUAAGCACAUUUGAAGAGCUCCUGUUUCGUAAGUAAGACAGCAGCAGCAAGACUGCAAUCAUUUCUGGGAAGACAGUAUCAUCAUAAUGCAAUAUUAGCUACUGUGAUCUUCUAUCAUUUCCUUCCUGGAGAGUUAUGACUGUGGCACUGAGGAUUUAAGACCUACAGCCUGAACACUACUUACUACAAAUCUCUCACAAAGCUGCUGCAAUAAAUCUCGUGGAGGAAAGUCAUUGCAUAAAAAAAUCCUCAACUCCAGGGAGUUGGCCAUUUAUUUUCCUAGAAAAGGGGCUGUGAUGAGAGACACUCCAUGCUUCCUUUAACUCCAUGGAACAGAACCCAACAAAGCAUUCAUCAUGGAAAGUUGACUGAUGGGCCCAAUGAGACUAGCUGGGGAAGGAAGAUGGAAAGAGAAGCGCCCCAUCCAAGGCCUGCUCCUUUCCCUAGCUGCAGCCAGGAGGGAUUUCCUCUUCGCCUGAGGAUUGACUUUCCAUAGAAUCAGCACCACUGAGGGUAAGCUUCCCUGAAGACAAACUCUGUCAUUGGAGAGCUCAGCCAGGGGUCUAAAACUGGACCCUAUGGACUCCACAGAUUUAUUUAGUCUGCACAGUGUUUAAAAAUGUUUUUAGUUAGGGCCAGGCAUGGUGGCUCCCGCCUGUAAUCCCAGCACUUUGAGAGGCCGAGGUGGGCAGAUCACCUAAGGUCAGGAGUUUGAGACCGGCCUGGCUAACAAGGCAAAACCCAGUCUCUACUAAAAAUACAAAAAUUAGCAGGGCAUGGUGGUUCAGGCCUGUAAUCCCAGAUACUCAGUAGGCUGAGGCACAAGAAUCACUUGAACCUGGGAGGCGGAGGUUGCAGUGAGCCAACAUCGCGCCAUGGCACUCCAGCUUGGGUGACAAGAGUGAAACUCCAUCUCAAACGAACAAAACAAAAAAGUUUUUAGUUAGUUCCCAACAUCAAAAAUUAACAAUUUUGCAAAGAAAGAUAAAAUCCAGAUUUUGGGCUCCCCUAAACAAAUUGGGAUAUCUGAAAACAGUGGGUCACAUUCCUACAUUCCCGCCCCUAUUGACAGUAUGUGCCUGCUCUAAUUUUACUUCCCCUUUUACCCUAACUGCCCUGUAGGGAAUGGAGUUUGCAAUCCCCAUACUAAUCCAUCACCCUGCGGGUCCCUUCCCCUCCUCCCUGACCUCUGUUCUGAUAAGGGGUGAGAGAAUGAACCCCCAUAAGUAUUGAAUGGAAAAAACAUGUAUUGGCCAGGCACGGUGGCUCACACUUGUAAUCCCAGCACUUUGGGAGGCCAAGACGGGCAGAUCACCUGAGGUCAGGAGUUCAAGACCAGCCUGACCAAUAUGGCGAAACCCUGUUUCUACUAAAAAUAAUUAAAAAACAAAAUUAGCCAGAUAUGAUGGCAGGCGCCUAUAAUCCCAACUACUCGGGAGGCGGAGGCAGGAGAAUCGUUUGAACCCAGGAGGCGGAGGCUGCAGUGAGCCAAGAUUGCACCAUGGCACUCCAGCCUGGGCAACAAGACCGAAACUCCAUCUCAAAAAAAAUAAAAAUAAAAAUACAUGUGUUGAUGAGAAAAUACAACUGACUAAUCCCACCUAAACCAGGACCUCAUAUAAAUUCAGAAGAUCUUUCUAACAUGCCAGGGAGGCAGCCUGGUAUAAAGCAAAGAGCACAUGCUUUGCGAAUGUAAACCAAAAAUAAAAGUUGAAGGCCCUCCUCACCAUAGGAAUGGUCUCCUUCCUUUGCUGGGGCACCCUAAAAUUUAACUGGUUGAGGCCAUGAUGGGUAGUAGGGGUUGGACAUGCCUCAUUAUACCCUUUCAGCAGUAACAUCAACACAGACUUUAAGUCUGAUAAGAAAUAUUUACAGUCUAUUUUCUCUAAAGCCUGCUACUUGGAGGUAUAAAACCUAGGUCUCCACAACCCCUAUUGUAACCCAGCCAUUUCUUUCUACUAAUAAGUCUUUCAAUCAAUUGCCUAUCAGAAUGUGUUUAAAUCUACCUAUGACCUAGAAGCACCCCACUCUUUGAGUUGUCCCACCCUUCCAGACUGAACCAAUGUAAAUGGUUCAAUUGAUUGAUGUGUUAUAUCUUCCUAAAGUGUAUAAAAGGAAGCUGUACCUCAACCAUCUUGGGCAAGUGUCUUCAGGAACUCCUGAGUCUGUGUCACAGGUGUGUCUUUAACCUUGGCAAAGUAAACUUGCCAUUACUUAUUUUUUUUUUUUUUUUUUUUUUUUUUUUUUGAGACGGAGUCUCGCUCUGUCGCCCAGGCUGGAGUGCAGUGGCGCAAUCUCGGCUCACUGCAAGCUCCGCCUCCCGGGUUCACGCCAUUCUCCUGCCUCAGCCUCUCCAAGUAGCUGGGACUACAGGCGCCCGCCACCA